UCUAAUUCAUUUCAUGCCCAAAUCAGUGUUUGGUGGUUCCCGACCUCCAUUCACUAUUGUUGAGUUGAGUCACUUUAGGGCAAAUCUAAUUAUCUGUACGUGGAUAAUUAUCUGUACGUCGAUUUUUCUUUUGAUUUUGACAUGUAACAAUCUUUAGACGUCUUAGUUUUCAUAAAACCGUCGUCUAAUGUUGUCGAAGAUUUCAUUUUAGGCUAACUAUAUAGUAAUUACACGUCAGUUCGUAAUAAAUCUGGACGUUGAAUGUGUAAACAACGUCGGGUAUUAACCGUCGUUGUUUUAUGUACAAAAGAUGACGGUGGAUUUCAUGACGGUUUGAAAACCUUCUAGACGAUGGUGGUUUUCCGUCGUCUAUUUCAAUUUUUGUAGUAGUGAUAGCUAGAUAUGUGAGCAGGAAUGCCUUACACACACACCAAAAGAGUCGGGCAACAGUGAUGAGAAGAAAAUGCUCUUCCAUGGUCCAGUAAAGUGUUGAAUUAUUUAAUCUUUAUUUUUUUGGCAAUAUUAGUGUUCUUGGGACUUGGGAGUAUAAAGUUUGGGGAGAGGACUCGGUUAAGAUAUAUGCAACUUGCAAGCAGUGAGCAUUUCAUAAACCUAAAAUGUGGGGGCUUGGUGUCUAAAGAUUAUUUUAGGGUGUCGGUCCAUAGAAUCACCCAAUUUGAUAUCAGACGGAUAAUGGAAUGUUGAAAUGGUCACCCGAGCUAAAGUGAGAUUUCUAUUCUUCCUAUUCAUCUCCAUUGUCCUUUAGUUUCACCUCACUUUCUGUUGCUUUUCUUUUUUAAUUGUGACCAUCUAGAUGUUAAUAUAAACAAAGACUAUUAGUAGACAUACUCGGUGGGCUAUUUUUUUUUUUUUUUAAAGACUAACUGAGAAAAAUCUUUAGUAAGGCUUCGCAUCAUCACAGAUUCACAUGUGUGAACAAAGACUAUACAAGCAAAAAAAAGAACUAGACAAUAUGCUAACUAAACAAAGACCAUGACUAUACAGCAUUCACACAAACACCGAUCCAGUUUCUGUUUUUGUCCCUUUCCUCACCCUAGCUUGUAUUAAAGAAUGCUUGGAAUGAAAAAGCGCGGUCCUUGUAUCGCCAAUACUUUAACACAUUAUAUAUGUAUAUAUAUUGUAGUACAAAUAGUAGUCUAAACUCACACACAAUAUUAAGAUGUCAUGGUGAUUCGAACCUGAAACCUCUGGUUUGUCAGAUAAAUUCUCCUCAGCCAUAUAUAAGAGCCUGUUGGGGUUGACAUGCUUGUGACUCAAAUUAUGUGUCCCUUGCAUUACUGUUCAAUAAAAGCAGGAUUGAAUAAUGACCAGUUUUUGUAUUUAAAAAAUAUACAUACAUAUAUAUAUAUAUAUAUUUGUGUCCAACACGACCAAUUUUAGUGAUGGAGAAAAGAUAUAGAGAUGGGAGUGGAUCCACUAUCCCCAAACCAAAUUAAAACUAAACUAAUCUAAUAGGUUUCAAGUGUUUUUAGCUAAAUUUUAGUAAAAAAAUAGAAGGCAUAAUUGUAGAUAUUCUUAAUACCACCACCGUUUUCUUUUUCUUUUUUGUCAAAAUCCCACAACCACCUUCAACCUCACCAGAUCCAAAUCCUGUAACUCCUUUGUAACAAUUACUUUAAUCAAUACAAGACAACAAUUCUCUCAAAUGUCUCUCCGUUUUGCAUUUAUAGAACACGUCCCAACCAUUUACACAAACAUCAACGCGCUCACACGGAUAUGUUUUUAAUGAAAUUAUGAUGCAAAUAAUUACAUACUCGGUUUUGUCCUCAGGCUUUUGGAGAUAUUAUUAGUGUAACAAGUUUCUAUUAAACAACUACAUAUUGGCCCUGGUUUUUGACGAGUUAGUCUAUAAAAUAACGAAUCCUUUUAUUUUGUUGAACCUUACCUAAUACCUACCAUCAUCGACAAUGAUUCCUGUAUAAUUUCAAAAUUUUAUUUUGCAGGACCUCACCUAAUACCUACCAUCAUCGAUAAUGAUACCUUAAUAAUUUGAAAUUUCAGUCUUUUGUUUUCUUUUUGCGUCAAGUACUUUUUGAGUAUUGUGUAUCAAUUUGGAUUUUAAAAAUAUGUUUUGUUACGAAAAAUCUUUGCUGAGAUUUCUGAUAUCCACAUGUGAACAUAGACUUAGACAAAAUACUUAUUAAACAAAGACCGACAAUUCACAAGUCAUUCUUUACUCGAAGUCUAAUUCAUUUCAUGCCCAAAUCAGUGUUUGGUGGUUCCCGACCUCCAUUCACUAUUGUUGAGUUGAGUCACUUUAGGGCAAAUCUAUAUUUCUUUCACUGUUUGAAAUGAAAGGACCCGCCCCGAAUUUUCUCAAAAUCCGAGACGAACCCUUUGGAAUUCCUGACAUCACCCCGAUGCCAGGCCCACUUACAAGAAAACCGAGACUUCCUGCCGAAAUUUCGGCAGAGUCUCCCCUAUAAUUUGGACAUUUCCCAAAAUUUCAACCUGCAUAAAAACACAUUUAAUAUUCCUAACUGGCAGCAUGCACAAUAUAAUUUCAUGCAAAUUCUCAUAUAUGGCUUUCGGCCUUCCAAAAUUCUCAAACAACUACCAAACAAUUCAAAUACCAAUUAUGAUUAAUAUUUAGUCUGCGGCUGCACCUAAUAACCUUAGGCUGCCUACGUACCCUCCUUGAGGGAUCAAGCCACACGUAGUUCUUCCCUAAAACCCAAUUCCACACUUGGGCGAUACCUUAUUUCAUUUUUCUGUAUUUCACAUAUUCUCCCCAUACGCCGGUACAACCAACGCCACGUAUGGGGCCUGUCAACACUCC
rnacentral:lncRNA from 1 species